ACGAACGCUGGCGGCGUGCCUAAUACAUGCAAGUAGAACGCUGAAGCUUGGUGCUUGCACCGAGCGGAUGAGUUGCGAACGGGUGAGUAACGCGUAGGUAACCUGCCUGGUAGCGGGGGAUAACUAUUGGAAACGAUAGUUAAUACCGCAUAAGAGUAGAUGUUGCAUGACAUUUGCUUAAAAGGUGCAAUUGCAUCACUACCAGAUGGACUUGCGUUGUAUUAGCUAGUUGGUGAGGUAACGGCCCACCAAGGCAACGAUACAUAGCCGACCUGAGAGGGUGAUCGGCCACACUGGGACUGAGACACGGCCCAGACUCCUACGGGAGGCAGCAGUAGGGAAUCUUCGGCAAUGGACGGAAGUCUGACCGAGCAACGCCGCGUGAGUGAAGAAGGUUUUCGGAUCGUAAAGCUCUGUUGUAAGAGAAGAACGAGUGUGAGAGUGGAAAGUUCACACUGUGACGGUAUCUUACCAGAAAGGGACGGCUAACUACGUG
rnacentral:rRNA from 1 species